UCUAUGGUCGGCACGUCUGGUAGCAUCUCUGGCUGCUGUUGACCUUAUUUUUGGAGUAAAACACGGUGGAAGCUGAAUUAGUGAGGAUGACUCCUGCUACUGUCAUCUCUAAGCUCCUCACACAUCUUUACCUGCACAUGAGGAAAAUCACUCCUGUAGAAUGCAGAUGUUCAGAGGGAGAUGAUGCCACAUCUGGUCCAGCUGAUGGAAGGUCUUGAAGUUCUCUGACUGGCCUCGACUGAAGAUGGUCGUCUCACUGGAUUUAAGGUUCAGAUGCUCAGUAACAAACUCCACCAAUGUGCCAACAGGGAAGCUUUAGGUUUAUUAAAUGUUGCUAUGAAGGUUUCGCUGUUUUUCUUUGUGAAUGCAAUGUGCUCCAACUGAAACUUGAAUUAGAACUUAGAAGUAAAUCCUUCCAUCUGAAAGGGUUUAGUUGCAUUAAUAACCUCAUAACAUUCUAAUUUUUAUUCCAGUCUUGGUUGGAAAUAGAAUCUCUGUAUUGAUUCAGGUAAAAACUGAACUUCACAGCAUGUUGGAGCAAAACAACCAGAUGAAAACUGUGAUGGUGUUGGAUUGUCAGGCCGUAAUGUUGCAGCUCAAAGCAGCUUUUCUAUCUCAGUUCAUUCUGACAUUCAGCUAUGAAUCAACACAGCAGAUGGUGAUCCAUGCUGUGGAAGUCUCACAUCUCCUGAUUUAAUGGAGCUGCUUUGCACUUUUUACACUGUUUAUUCACCAACACUUUAUUUAAUAAAAGUCCCAUCUAGUUUUUAUGAGGAAUGUGAUGUUUUAAUUUCUCUGUGAAUAACUGCAGUCUAAUGCAACAGCUGGAGUUGUAACAUCUGUCCUGAUAUUGAUCAUGAAGUAUUGAUCAGAAUACUUAUGGUCAGCAGUCAUCCCUGAAGUUUUACAGUAAAAUCUUUACUUGUGUUGUGAACUUUGGUAAGAAGCAGAAACGUUAGCGUUGCCAUGGAUACAUGAGUGUUAAAUUCAGUCCAUGUUUCCAUUUUGGGAAAUUCAGUCCAGUUCCAGAAUGUGGAGGAAUUUAGUCUCACAAUCACAGACAACAAAUAUUAUCUGAAAGUCGGGUUAUUGUUGUUUAUCAGCACAAUACAAAAAGAUUAAUGUUAGAAAUAUUCUAGUUAAGACUCUAGAAUAUCAUGAUUUAUGUAAAUUUACCUCAAUAAUAUGAAUGCUCAGGUUAAGAUUGUACAGUGAUAUUUAUUAUGUAAGUUUAGCUGAUUAAAGUUUAUGACUCUGCACUAAAAUAUUAUUUAAAUUGACAUCAUUAUUAUAAUAUUUAGGGUCAGACCCUACAGUAUUGAGAUUAAGAAAUCAAAUAUUCUAUAAAAUGUAAAUACACUGAACUCAUUUGGAUAUAUUUAAGUGAGACUCUACAAUAUUAUUUGACACAAAUCUAUCUAAAUCAAAAUUUUAAUAAUUUUCACACCAAACAUUUACUGGACUGAUUUAAAUAUUAAAAUCACUCCUUUCUAAUCCUCUGCUGUACGUUCAAACCUGAGGCCUUAAAUAGAAACACACAAGUAUCUGAUUGAAGGAACUUCUGCAGAGUCCUGGUUCCAGAACAUGAUGAUAGAAUUAUAGACAAACUUUAACAAAAGCUGCCUGAGAGUUUACAGGUUUUUAUGUUGGAUUUCUUCAGUAAUUUAAUGAGAGUUAUCAGCAAUAAUCAAGUGUUCAUUUGAUGAACUUCAUUUCCUCAAACAUCCAGAAUUGGAGCUCAUAUCUUUGGCAGCUGUAAAGUUUCUGCUCCUUCAAAGUUCACAACACAAUGAAUGAAUUCCUAAAACACUCUCAAUGCUGGAGAGCGUUUGUGAUGCUGAAGCAGUGAUCAGUUUUUCUGUUUCUUCUCUGGAGAUGCACAAUGAGGGACGUCUGCAGAGACUGAGAAAGAGUCUCACCACAUCCUGACAUGAGGAAAAAGACUUUAUUGAAGACUGCAAUGAGAAAAACUAUCGGACAGCAGACGGCUGCAUUCAAGGUGAGCUCUGAACAUUUGAUCUGGAACAGGAAUUCAAUAACGGCAGCAUGAGCUUCAUUUCAGUCUGUAGCUGCUGAAUUCAUGGAUGAAUCAUCUGGCACUAGAGAGGAAGACCAUCAAACAUCCACGUCAGCUGAUGGAGGUCCAAGAGUCUCACUGAACAACCAACCUACAGAGUAAAGACCUCGAAUCUAAUUGGACGGCCUCCUAUUCAGCCACGUGUGAACAAAUGCCUCUAAGUUGAUUUGUUUUCUAAAAUAAAUCUAGUUUGAGUCCUAAUCUAUGCCUGAGUGUUUGCUUCUUUACACCGCUGUUAACAGUUUAGGCUGUUAGAUUGUUCCAGAUAAGACAAGUACAAGAUUCUUCAGAGCCGUUCUACCACGAGCCUGACAGGAAGAACUCCAACAGCUACUGAAUGUUCCUGUGGUUCCCUCAAGGCUACAGGAGGAGCCCUACGAGGACGAGCCGGUCCACCUGAUGGCGGCCAAUCGCUGCGGUUCAAAGCCAACACCGAUUACGUGGACUUCUACUGGACCACACGGAGGCCUUCAAACCGGACCAACAAGUUCACGACUCCCCGACUCGUGGGUCUGAGGACGCUGCCGAGCCUCGGUCCAGCCGGCCUCCUGUCUGUGGGUGUUUGAGUGCUGAGAGGUUUGUGGAUGCAUGUGAACGUGUCUGUGUUGAAACAGCAGCUUUUGACUCACUAACGCUGGUAAAAACAAGGAGCUCCUUUAUUUGUGACUUCCACUAAAAAACUGAUGAAAAUAAGUUUGCCAGGGUUCUGACUGAUAACAGAUUAUUAAAUAAUGAAAAUAAUCGUUUAAAUAUUCCUUUAAACAAUCCUUUUAGGUCUACAUUUCCUUUACACUGACUUCUUGGUAUAUGUACAAGUAUUUUGGGUGGAAUAUACCAUUAAGCCCAAUGUUCAAGGGUUCUUCUGGGAAUAUACCAUUAAAUCAACCUUUCAGGUAAAUAUUCCAGGAUGUUGGGUAGAAUAUACCAUCAGAUCAACCUUUUAGGUCUACAUUGGAAGAUUUUAGAGUAGAAUAUUACUCCAAACCAUCCUUUAGGUCUACAUUUAAGGUGGAAUACUCCUUUACACCAAGAUUUUUUGGUCUACAUUGAAGGAUUUUAGGUGGAAUAUUCCUUUGAACGAACUUUUUAAGUUUAUGUUAAAGGAUGUUGGGUGGAAUAGACCAUCAGACCAACCUCCAAGGUCUACAGUAGUGAAUUUUAGGUGGAAUAUACCAUUAAACUCACCUUUUAGGUCUACAUUGGAGGAUUUUAGAUGGAAUUUUCUUCCAAACCAUCUUUUAGUCUACAUUUAAGGAUGUUUAGGAUGGUAUAUUCUUCCGAACCAACUUGUCAGGUCUACAUUUCAGGUGGAAUAUUCCUCCAUACUAACCUUUUUUGGUCUACAUUGAAGGAUUUUUUCUAAACCACCCUUUCGGGUCUAUAUUUGGGGUUUUAGGUGGAAUAUUCCUUUUAACCAGCCCCUCAGGUCUUUGAGGAUUUUGGAUGGAAUACUCGGUUAAACCAACAUUUUAGGUGCAUGUCCAAGGAUUUUUGGUGGAAUGUUCCUUUAAGGUGGAUGUUUGAGGACCUUGUAGGUGGAAUACUUCCUGAAACCAACAUUUUAGGUCAACAUUCAAAGAUUUAAGGUGGAAUAUUCCUUUAAACCAACCUAAAUUUCAUGUUUUGAUCAUUAUCAAGUGAGAAACAUCAAUCCAGACUCCUCAUAAUGACGUUUGAGAUUUAUGCUGCUGUUAUUUGUUUAGUCCAGACUAAAUGACAGAAAUCCACAACUGUAAUUUUAUUUCAGGACUCGGUUAUUAAAUGUCAAAACAAUCCAUGUGACUCUAAAAACUCAACAGCUGUACACACUCUAAGAUUAAACUCUCCACAAGGAUCCAAAAUAAGUUGGACUUCUACAUGAGAGCUUUAAUUAUUCUUCAUCUACUUCCUGAAAAG